rnacentral:rRNA from 1 species
ACUCAAAUGAAUAGACGGGGGCCCGCACAAGCGGUGGAGUAUGUGGUUUAAUUCGAAGCAACGCGAAAAACCUUACCUGGCCUUGACAUCUCCUGAUAGCCGUAGAGAUACGGUUUUGGCUUCGGUCACAGGAUGACAGGUGCUGCAUGGCUGUCGUCAGCUCGUGUUGUGAAAUGUUGGGUUAAGUCCCGCAACGAGCGCAACCCCUGUCCUUAGUUACUACCAUUAAGUUGGGGACUCUAGGGAGACUGCCGGUGUUAAACCGGAGGAAGGCGGGGAUGACGUCAAGUCCUCAUGGCCCUUACGGCCAGGGCUACACACGUACUACAAUGGCAGAAACAAACCGUUGCGAAGCCGUAAGGUGGAGCUAAUCGGAAAAACACUGUCCCAGUCCGGAUUGAGGUCUGCAACUCGACCUCAUGAAGUUGGAAUCGCUAGUAAUCGCAGAUCAGCACGCUGCGGUGAAUACGUUCCCGGGCCUUGUACACACCGCCCGU